CUGAAUGGGGCAACCCACUAUAUUGAAGGUAUAGUAUCCCGCAAGGGAAGUGAACCCGGUGAACUGAAACAUCUAAGUAGCCGGAGGAAGAGAAAACAAAAGUGAUUCCGGGAGUAGUGGCGAGCGAAACCGGAUUAGCCCAAACCAGUGUUGUUUCGGCAAUACUGGGGUUGUAGGACCACGACAUUGAUUGCGUAAUGAAUUAGAACACUUUGGAAAGAGUGACCGAAGAGGGUGAUAGUCCCGUACAAGUAAAGAGCGUUAAUUAUAGUGGUAUCCUGAGUAGUGCGGGGCACGUGAAACCCUGUAUGAAUCAAGCGGGACCAUCCGUUAAGGCUAAAUACUCCUGAGAGACC
rnacentral:rRNA from 1 species